GGCUCCAUAGCUCAGUGGUUAGAGCGCUGGUCUUGUAAAUGAAGAGUCGUUAGUUCGAGCCUCACUGGGGCCU